AGUGAACGCUGGCGGUAGGCCUAACACAUGCAAGUCGAACGGCAGCACAGUAAGAGCUUGCUCUUACGGGUGGCGAGUGGCGGACGGGUGAGGAAUACAUCGGAAUCUACUUUUUCGUGGGGGAUAACGUAGGUAAACUUACUCUAAUACCGCAUACGACCUACGGGGGAAAGUAUGGGAUCUUCUGACCUUGCGCGAUUGAAUUAGCCGAUGUCGGAUUAGCUAGUUGGCGGGGUAAAGGCCCACCAAGGCGACGAUCCGUAGCUGGUCUGAGAGGAUGGUCAGCCACACUGGAAGUGAGACACGGUCCAGACUCCUACGGGAGGCAGCAGUGGGGAAUAUGGGACAAUGGGCGCAAGCCUGAUCCAGCCAGACCGCGUGGGUGAAGAAGGCCUUCGGGUUGUAAAGCCCUUUUGUUGGGAAAGAAAAGCAGCAGGUUAAUACCCAGCUGUUCUGACGGUACCCAAAGAAUAAGCACCGGCUAACUUCGUG
rnacentral:rRNA from 1 species